AUUGCUGCGCGUACCCCUUCGUGCAAUUUCGCGUACCCCUGAGGGUACGCGUACCACUAAUUGGGAACCACUGUUCUAGAGGAAGCUCCAUUGUCCUUGACAGCAGAGGUUUUAUAAGUUUUUUGAGAUCGAUGCAUUUCUAAUUGGCGAUUUUGUUUUUGGCGACAUAAUCUUCGAAAGAACGAACUGAAGAAUAUCCUAAUGAAAAUAAU